AUGCAUGCAAAAUUGGUUGAGGGGUGAUAAUAUUAUUACUUUGGAGGAUGAUGCACCUUCAAUUGACCACAUUGAGUUCUAUGAAAGUAUUGAAUCCGAGUUGGCCAAAUCGACUUCAAGCAUUGCCUCUCUUACUCUCGAUCAAGAACCACAACAAGCUCCAAAGCAAUCUCAAGGUUCUAAUUCACAAGAGCCUCCCCUUAUGCGUUUACAAAGUGCAAGGUCUUCACAAGCUCAAAGGCCUCCUAAACCUUCAAAGAAUAAGUGUCCAAAAGGAAAAGGAAAGGUAAAGGUUUGAAACUUGAACGAUGCAAAGUAAGUUGAAAACCAAGAUUUUGUUGAAUUCCAUGAACCAUUUAUUUUUUUGGUUGUACUAAUGCCAUAAGGCAUUUGACAUUGAACUUUGUUUGAAACUUUGAAGUUUGAACUUUAGUUGUAUUAUGGCAAACUUAACUUUUCAAUUGGGUUGUAGUAAACUAUUGUGAUUGAUUGGUGAUCAAGUUGAAUUUUAGUAGAUGUGAAUUAUGUGA